CAGCCGCCGCGGUAAUACCGGCGGCCCGAGUGGCGGUCACUAUUAUUGGGCUUAAAGCGUCCGUAGCCGGGUUGGGAAGUCCUCCGGGAAAUCUGGCCGCUUAACGGUCAGAAUGCCGGAGGAUACUCCCAGCCUAGGGAGCGGGAGAGGCCGAGGGUCUUCCCGGAGUAGGGGUGAAAUCCUAUAAUCCCGGGAGGACCACCUGUGGCGAAGGCGCUCGGCUGGAACGCGUCCGACGGUGAGGGACGAAGGCCAGGGGAGCAAACCGGAUUAGAUACCCGGGUAGUCCUGGCUGUAAACGAUGCGGACUUUGUGUCGGACAAGCUAUGAGCUUGUCCGGUGCCGGAGGGAAACCGUUAAGUCCGCCGCCUGGGGAGUACGGCCGCAAGGCUGAAACUUAAAGGAAUUGGCGGG
rnacentral:rRNA from 1 species